CCAUCCCCCUAUUCCCUUCCUCCCCUCUGCCUGAAUGCCACAGGUCUGCCAGUCCAGAGGGGGCAGCAGCGCCCUCUGACUUGGCUAGUACAGGUGCUUUAAUGCCUCAAGUGUUAGUCAGUGAGUCAGUCUGUCUCCACAGACUCCAUAGACAACAGCAGACUUUCUGUCCUGCAAAGGUUACAUCCUGUGUGGGUGUGUGUUCAUACAGUGUAACAGGGAAUGCCAAAUAUGCCCCAUGAAGACAGUCACCCAUUCCCACGUGUGUGUGUGUGUGUGUGUGUGUGUGUGUGUGUGUGUGUGUGUGUGUGUGUGUGUGUGUGUUUUGACAUUGUGUGUGAUCUGGUCUUGAUUAGCAGUGUUCUUGUUCUUGUGGGUUAUCUUCCAGACCUUUCCCACUGUCUGAAAUCCCUACACAUGUACACACACAUUCAGUGUUAAGAUACUCACCUAAGAGAUGUGUGUAUGAGAAAUAUACCCCCCACUGUUUUAUUUCCUGUGUUUGUUGCCACUCAGAGUGUUUUCUCUCCCAGUCAAUCCUGAGUCUGCGUAUCCCCCCUCCCCCUCCAGAUGAUACCUCACAGGGAUCACUAAAAGAAGAACACACAGAAGGGGUGGACUCACUGAACGUUUAAAAGAAGAAAAAAAGGUUCAUCUUGUACAGAACACCAGAUCUGAAAAUCUUCCCUUUGAAAGAUUGUUUCUUGUAGAAACGCCUUCUUUCGGCCCCAUUUUGUUUUUUGUUUUCUUUCUAAUCUUAAAGUGUAAAUACUUUAACUGUGAAUAUAUAAAUAUAUAUAUUUUUGUUCUUGAGGAUUUGCUGCAGAGAUACAGCUCAGAGACGUGUGUGUGCGUGUGUGUGUGUGUGUGUGCGCGUGUGUGUGUGUGUGACGGAGAAGAAAACAGCACGGAGCUGGAGGCAGUCAUUUCAGCUUGUGUCAAGCUUUAUUUUUUAUUUUGGGUUGUAAAUUCUAUGAAGACUUGUUUGCAGUGUGGGGAAAAACCGAGCAUUACAAUGCGGAAUCGGCGAGGGGAAUGUGUGGGAUCAACUCAUUGCCCGAGUCUAUUUAUUACACCGUCAAGUUUAUCCAGAGAAGAAAAAA
ensembl:lncRNA